rnacentral:rRNA from 1 species
CAGCAGUGAGGAAUUUUGCGCAAUGGGCGAAACCCUGACGCAGCGACGCCGCGUGGGUGACGAAGGCUUUCUGGUCGGAAAGCCCUGUCUGGUGGGACUAAAUGCCCCGUGGUUAAUACCCAUCCUGUUUGACGGUACCACCGAAGGAAGCACCGGCUAACUCCGUG